GAGAGAGAGAGAGAGAGAGAGAGAGAGAGAGAGAGAGAGAGAGAGAGAGAGAGAGAGAGAGAGAGAGAGAGAGAGAGAAGCAUACUCUAAGAAGAUAGACAUUAAUACAUAUCCAACCUUUCCCUCCCCAUAGAAAUUCCAACAACUGCUGUUACUACUACUACUGCUACUACUACUACUACUACUACUACUACUACUACUACUACUACUACUA